UGUUGCUGAGCCUUUCAAUAGUUCCCUAACUAUUUCAUUUCAGCUGCUGCAGCCCUGGGUCUACCUUGGCUCCGGACAAGCUCCAGAUGAAUCGUUCUGAUCUUUCACUGCUCUGCAGGGAGCACUAAGAGUGUGUGAUCACCAUCAGUGCUUGGCUGCAGGGCAGUGUCUUCUGAGACUGCUCCUGCUGAGCCAGCAGAGCUCACCCUAACCAUGCCCUUGGAGGAUCCAAGUGCUGCCCACUUUAUCCCCAACUGUUAGUAUGCACCGUGAACCCGGGGGACAAUGCACGGAAGUUUUCACCUGGAAACCCACAUGCCAGACAUGAGGCAGCUGCAAGCCUGAGAGCACCCAGCACUCUCCGAGCAAGCAGAAGAAAUACCAACACAGAUGCACAGGGACGGAUGUGCUCCGAUGGGAAGAUCCUCCUGACCUGAGAUGUUUGAGGCUUGUCAGUAGAGCCCUAAAAGCUGUGCUGCUGGCAUUGGACUGUAUCAGUUUUCAGGACACAGAUCUGCUCCAGACCAGGAAUUUGCCCUUGCUGGAUCCUUUUAGCCUGCAUACACCACUGAGUGAUUGAUACGAGUUCAGCCCAGCAGCCCUGGAUUUGAAAAAGGUUUCAGCUGGGGAGCAGCAUCCCAGAUUCUCCCUCUACACAUUUGUCAAAUUGGGGAAUGAAACGGCCCCUCUGAAGAGGGCACUGAAUGUUUAUACAAACCUCGCUGCCCAGCUGCAAGCCCGGCUCUUUCAUCUGCAGCUCCAGCGUUGCAGCCUGGAAGGUGGGACCCCAGAGGGAGCUGGCAGCUCCCGGCGGCGAUGCUCUGACAGUGCCGUCAGCUCUGGGUGGCUCCUCACCUUCAAAUGCACCGAACGGGGGUCUGGAGCUGACUGUGGAUUUUGAACAUCGCAGAAGUGAGGGGGCUUGUCAGCAGGUUCCAGUCUGAUUUUCCUGUUAAGGAGACUGGUCCACGAGUUCUGUUUUUCCCACUUAGCCAAAAAUCUAGUUAUUAGUAAUUUGUUUUCUUCCCACUUUUUUCAUCAUCUCUGACACUGAUCUCUACAGGCCUUAAUAAGAAUUUGACAUUGACCAGUCAAAAUGCCUGGUACAAGUGUCUCACCUUGUUUCACAUAUGAUCGAGACUAAAAUGUGUAUAAUCUAUGUUUGCCAGUCGCUCUGGAAUUGGGAUUUCUUUGCUUUGCUUACUAUGUUCCUUCUGUAUUAUGUCUAGUGGAAGUGCUUGCAAAAAGCAUUGCCUAGACAGAUUUUGCUGCGUGAGUCACUUGUGGUUUAAGGACUGUUAUUUACUCUGCAGCAGAUAGCACCGCUGCCAGCACUUCUCACCUGGCUGUGGAACAACUGAUGGGUGCUGACGGUCUGGGCUCGCUACAGAAACAUGGAGCUGUAGGUUAACCCAGCAGGUCUGGAUGGGAAGGCGCAGGAUUUGGCCAUGGUGUUUAGCAGGUACCCAUAAAGCAGGACAGCUUUUGGCUGGAGACCUGUUUGGUUUCAAAAAACUUGUCUGGGGAAGAAGGCUAAGACAACAGAUAUGCUGAAAGAAGCAGCCUUAGAGAUUGGAGUCAUCUUUGUCUGGUGGAAAACUAACACUAAUUUGGCCCAGAUGGGUCAUCACCUUGGCAGAGGUGUUCAGACCUCUUGUAGGGGCCCAUAGAGCCCCGGUGGCAGUGGAAGUGGUCCCUUGUGCCUGAUCCAGGUGCUGACACUGUAGGGUUGCAGAUAGAAGCCAAGCUUCAUUAAUUAGAAAAUUAAGAACCAGUAAAGCUCUUUUAUGGACCCAGGUGGUUGUGAGAGCACCCCCAGAGAGGGGCUGGGGUGCCCAUGGGCUCCCCCUCCCAGCAGCUCCCUCCCUUUCCCCGCUGUGACACUGCAACUCCCAUCCCAGCUGCUCUGGCUGGGAGUGUUGGAUGGGAUCCUGCUCAGAGCCCGCUGCUUUUUUAGUCAGGUGAAGCUGCAGAGGAAAUCCAGCGAUCUUGAAUUUCCUCACUGUGCUCAGGGAUGCUUUUUCCUUCCCCACGGCCCUUAGCCCAAAUCGGUGCUUGAAGUGCUCAUUUUGGGGAAGCACAGGGCGUAAAGCAUACAAGCAACUGUCUGCAGCUGCAGGGAAGGUCAUAAAAAUGGGGAUGACACCCUUUCCACAUGGCAGCCUGCUUCCUCCCUCCACUGGCUGCAGAGACUUCUGAGGAGGCUCUAAAGACAAUUGUGUAUUCCUGGGAAAGUGAAGGCAUGUUAAAUGAAUACCACAGCUCAAAAGCAAGGCUGGUGCUUGCUGGUGGAGCAGCCGGUGGAGCAGGGUUGGGAAGCAGCAGUCAUGUCAUGUGCUUCUGUAGGACUGGCUGAGUGGGGCCGAGGUGAGCUGGCAGAAGCAGGAUGUUUGCUUGGACAUGAACCUCUGCAGAAGACCUCAGAGUGCUGAUCUGAUCACGCUCUGGCUGUACAAGGUCAUGAAUGUACCCACAUCUAACUCAUACCAUUGCUAUAAAAGCUCAACAUUUUAAAAGUAUUGAGCUGUCCAUUUUAGCUUCCUUUUAUUUUGCCUUCAUUGGGUUUUCAGGUUUUGGUUCCCAAAUUUAUAGGUACAGAGCAAGCCAAGGUACAAAGAAGAAUGAUUUCAAGACAAAAGACCAAGAAAGUGGAUUAAAUUUUGGCACUGUUUCAUUGCUCUGUAAUGCAACAAACACUGUCUUUUAAACAUUUGUUUUCAGCCACAACAAUAAACACCUUGCUCAGGGGGUGAUGAUCAAUUUGGAGCUGAUCUAAUAUCUCUCCAUCUUACCCACUAUCAUCACAGCCGUUGUAGCAGAAGUGAAAUGCCUCCCAAGGACUCUCAGGGCAUGGCAAGGCUGCCAUCCCCAGGAAAGGGUGAGGAACUGGGCAUGGACAGGGAUGCUUGCCCCAGAUCACCAAAUAAAUGCAUGAACAAAUCUGACAAGAGCUUUCACUUGGGGAGCAGAAACCCUGCACUUGCAGCAUAACCCAGCGCCGCCCAGCUGGGGAAAUGGGCUGUCAGGAGAAAAUGGCCCAGGGUUUCUGCUCACAUCAAGCCUUUGUGGUGGAUUAUUUUUCUGUGCAGGAGAGAUGAUCAACUGUGACCUUUUUGGGAGCAAGGACUUGUCAGGAGCUUCAGACUCUAAGGUGGGAGUGUGGCCCAGAGCGCUGGGCUGUCUUUGAGAGCUGCAACAUGCAUCCUGUAGCAAAGCUUAAAAUGCCUUUUCAGCAUCACCUGCAGCUUCUUCUAUCAGAUUUGGCUUCUCCUCUGAGAGACAGUCUCUGAACCAC